GUCACAUUUAAUAACCCCUCCCACUAUACAGUAAGAUUUGUAGGAGAAACUUUAUGGUUGCAUUGUAGUAGCAAUGAACAAACAGCUCUAAGCACACUGAAUACACUAUAGGUAUUAUGUAAAAGUUGCGAUGUACCACAGAUGCUUGACAUAAUUGUACUUACUUUAUGUUUCUGUUUCUUCCCCCCAAUGCAAGAAGUGUGUUGGCUAUGCCUAAAGUAGAUGAGAUUACGAUGUCAACUGCUCUAUCCUAGAUGGGAUGCUGUAGGCCCUAUGACUAUUUCAUCUCAUUGAAUUGUUUCUAGUGCUUAGAGUCCCCUAGCAGUGUCCCUCCAUUCAAUAUUAAAUCAUUUUCGACCAGUCCUUACUGGAGAUACAGCAAAGGCAGAGAUUACAUACUUCCUUCUAGUUGUACCAAG